AAAUGAUAAAUUUAAUUGUAUAUCUAGAUUUAAUUUAAGUAAAAUUUAUAGUUUAAAUUUACCGAGUGGAAGUUCCCUCGGUAAAAUUGAAUUAAACACUGUUCAUAGACGUCUUCCUCAUUUCCCUCCCCAAAUUGAAAGCCCUAGCUACUUUCUCACCCCUUUUCGCCGCUGUCGUCCGCCACCCCACCACCCUUUCGCCGUCGUCCCUCCGCGCGCCGCGCGCCGCUGUUACUGCUGCUCUGGUUCAGGUGGAGAAGCUUUCUUUCAUUUGGUUUCAAUCAACACUCUCUCUCUCUGGUUGAAUAUAAGGAGUCACCAGUAGGUUUGGCAACAGAAUCAGCUCAUCCUGGGAAGGGAGAUUUUACAGAGCACUGUUAAUUGGUAACUGCUUGAAGCUGUAUGUAACAGUUCUUGCACAAGGUUAUUUAUGGAGACACAGAUUCAAUAAUGAUAUAAAGUAGAGCAAGCUUCCCAAAGGGCUUUGUUUUUGGGAUUGCAUCUUCUGCUUAUCAGGUCUCCGAAUCUGGAAGCAGCAGUUGUUUGGGAGAUAUUCAGCUCAGGAACCAGCAGAAGAUUGGAGAUUUUGAGAACUUGUGAGAAGUAUAGGAAGAAGCCAAGAAUAAGAAAAGAGAUUGAAAGAUUGUGAGCAUACACUCCAGCAGCUUCAGACGGAGCGUGAGCAGAGAGUUCGAUUGGAGGAGUCACUUCGGGUAACUAAUGAGAUGCUCCAGCAGUUCUUGAGGUCCCAGCAGUCGAGGAGUAGUGGCUCAGGAGGUUCUUAGCUUUUGUGUAGUAUGUUUGGUACAUUUUGAUACAUUAUUAUGAUAUUUCGCUUAGAUGUAGUUUAUUUAGUACUUUUUAUGUUAUUGUGUUAUUUACAUAUAAACAUAUUGUUGGAUAUUGAACAAUGUCGAAUGAAUUUUAAAUUAUGUUUAGAUUA